UUAAGCGACUAAGCGUACACGGUGGAUGCCCUGGCAGUCAGAGGCGAUGAAGGACGUGCUAAUCUGCGAAAAGCGUCGGUAAGGUGAUAUGAACCGUUAYARCCGGCGAUGUCCGAAUGGGGAAACCCAGUGCAAUUCGUUGCACUAUCGUUAACUGAAUACAUAGGUUAACGAGGCGAACCGGGGGAACUGAAACAUCUAAGUACCCCGAGGAAAAGAAAUCAACCGAGAUUCCCCCAGUAGCGGCGAGCGAACGGGGAGCAGCCCAGAGUCUGAAUCAGCUUGUGUGUUAGUGGAACGGUCUGGAAAGUCCGACGGUACAGGGUGAUAGUCCCGUACACCAAAAUGCACAGGYUGUGAACUCGAAGAGUAGGGCGGGACACGUGGUAUCCUGUCUGAAUAUGGGGGGACCAUCCUCCAAGGCUAAAUACUCCUGACUGACCGAUAGUGAACCAGUACCGUGAGGGAAAGGCGAAAAGAACCCCGGCGAGGGGAGUGAAAAAGAACCUGAAACCGUGUACGUACAAGCAGUGGGAGCACCUUCGGGUGUGACUGCGUACCUUUUGUAUAAUGGGUCAGCGACUUAUAUUCUGUAGCAAGGUUAACCGUAUAGGGGAGCCGCAGGGAAACCGAGUCUUAACUGGGCGUUAAGUUGCAGGGUAUAGACCCGAAACCCGGUGAUCUAGCCAUGGGCAGGUUGAAGGUUGGGUAACACUAACUGGAGGACCGAACCGACUAAUGUUGAAAAAUUAGCGGAUGACUUGUGGCUGGGGGUGAAAGGCCAAUCAAACCGGGAGAUAGCUGGUUCUCCCCGAAAGCUAUUUAGGUAGCGCCUCGUGAAYUCAUCUUCGGGGGUAGAGCACUGUUUCGGCUAGGGGGUCAUCCCGACUUACCAACCCGAUGCAAACUACGAAUACCGAAGAAUGUUAUCACGGGAGACACACGGCGGGUGCUAACGUCCGUCGUGAAGAGGGAAACAACCCAGACCGCCAGCUAAGGUCCCAAAGUCAUGGUUAAGUGGGAAACGAUGUGGGAAGGCACAGACAGCCAGGAUGUUGGCUUAGAAGCAGCCAUCAUUUAAAGAAAGCGUAAUAGCUCACUGGUCGAGUCGGCCUGCGCGGAAGAUGUAACGGGGCUAAACCAUGCACCGAAGCUGCGGCAGCGACACUAUGUGUUGUUGGGUAGGGGAGCGUUCUGUAAGCCUGCGAAGGUGWSCUGUGAGGSWUGCUGGAGGUAUCAGAAGUGCGAAUGCUGACAUAAGUAACGAUAAAGCGGGUGAAAAGCCCGCUCGCCGGAAGACCAAGGGUUCCUGUCCAACGUUAAUCGGGGCAGGGUGAGUCGACCCCUAAGGCGAGGCCGAAAGGCGUAGUCGAUGGGAAACAGGUUAAUAUUCCUGUACUUGGUGUUACUGCGAAGGGGGGACGGAGAAGGCUAUGUUAGCCGGGCGACGGUUGUCCCGGUUUAAGCAUGUAGGCUGGUURUCCAGGCAAAUCCGGAUAAUCAAGGCUGAGGUGUGAUGACGAGGYACUACGGUGCUGAAGUAACAAAUGCCCUGCUUCCAGGAAAAGCCUCUAAGCAUCAGGUAACAUYAAAUCGUACCCCAAACCGACACAGGUGGUCAGGUAGAGAAUACCAAGGCGCUUGAGAGAACUCGGGUGAAGGAACUAGGCAAAAUGGUGCCGUAACUUCGGGAGAAGGCACGCUGGUGUGUAGGUGAAGYCCCUGCGGRUGGAGCUGAGACCAGUCGAAGAUACCAGCUGGCUGCAACUGUUUAUUAAAAACACAGCACUGUGCAAACACGAAAGUGGACGUAUACGGUGUGACGCCUGCCCGGUGCCGGAAGGUUAAUUGAUGGGGUUAUCCGUAAGGAGAAGCUCUUGAUCGAAGCCCCGGUAAACGGCGGCCGUAACUAUAACGGUCCUAAGGUAGCGAAAUUCCUUGUCGGGUAAGUUCCGACCUGCACGAAUGGCGUAAUGAUGGCCAGGCUGUCUCCACCCGAGACUCAGUGAAAUUGAACUCGCUGUGAAGAUGCAGUGUACCCGCGGCAAGACGGAAAGACCCCGUGAACCUUUACUAUAGCUUGACACUGAACAUUGAGCCUUGAUGUGUAGGAUAGGUGGGAGGCUUUGAAGCGUGGACGCCAGUCUGCGUGGAGCCAACCUUGAAAUACCACCCUUUAAUGUUUGAUGUUCUAACGUUGGCCCCUUACCGGGGUUGCGGACAGUGUCUGGUGGGUAGUUUGACUGGGGCGGUCUCCUCCCAAAGCGUAACGGAGGAGCACGAAGGUUAGCUAAUCCUGGUCGGACAUCAGGAGGUUAGUGCAAUGGCAUAAGCUAGCUUGACUGCGAGCGUGACGGCGCGAGCAGGUGCGAAAGCAGGUCAUAGUGAUCCGGUGGUUCUGAAUGGAAGGGCCAUCGCUCAACGGAUAAAAGGUACUCCGGGGAUAACAGGCUGAUACCGCCCAAGAGUUCAUAUCGACGGCGGUGUUUGGCACCUCGAUGUCGGCUCAUCACAUCCUGGGGCUGAAGUAGGUCCCAAGGGUAUGGCUGUUCGCCAUUUAAAGUGGUACGCGAGCUGGGUUUAGAACGUCGUGAGACAGUUCGGUCCCUAUCUGCCGUGGGCGCUGGAGAAUUGAGGGGGGCUGCUCCUAGUACGAGAGGACCGGAGUGGACGCAUCACUGGUGUUCGGGUUGUCAUGCCAAUGGCACUGCCCGGUAGCUAAAUGCGGAAGAGAUAAGUGCUGAAAGCAUCUAAGCACGAAACUUGCCCCGAGAUGAGUUCUCCCUGAGACUUUAAG
rnacentral:rRNA from 1 species